AACUCUUUGGUGUUUCACAGUAAGAUUCAUCAGCUCUUUCUGAUUGAAAGUCCUCUGUGUUCUUCAAGGAAAUGACAAGGCAGAAGAUAGAAAUAAAGAAGAUCGACAACAUAACAGCAAGGCAAGUAACGUUUUCGAAGAGAAGAAGAGGGCUAUUCAAGAAGGCUAAUGAACUUGCUACUCUCUGUGAUGCUGAGAUUGCUCUCAUAGUCUUUUCUGCUACUGGCAAGCUCUUUGAAUAUGGUAGCUCAAGUGUGCAGCAGGUUAUCGAAAGGCACGAUCAGCACUCAGAAAUUGAAAGAUUAUACCAUUCAUCCAUUUUGUAUGAAAAGGAAACCUUCAGCAUGCUCAGCAUGGAAGAAGCCAAUAAGGUUCAGGAACUGAGGCAGUUGAAGGGAGAAGAGCUUGAAGGAUUGAGCACGAAUGAAUUACAGAAGCUUGAAGAACAAUUAGAAAAAGGUUUGAGCCGUGUUGUCAAAGCUAAGGAAGAAAUAAUUAUGAAAGAGAUCAAUGCGCUCAAGAGAAAGGGAAUCCAGCUGAUGGAGGAGAAUCAGAGAUUGAAACAGAUUGGUGGCAAGAAUCUGAAGAUGGAAAAUUUGUGUUUAGGUGACGAAAGUUGGACAAACACAGGGUCAGUCGUCUGAGUCAGCAACUAUCGGCAGCACAUCUGAUCCUCUCCAUGAGGAUCAUAGUUCAGACACCUCUCUCAGAUUGGGAUUGUCUUUGUUCAACUAAUACAUUAAAUGAAAAAAAAAAAAGAUGAGAGGCAACAUGGAAAAUACAUCAAAAAUUUAAUUAACCGUUGUUGUGCACGGGACAAUUCCCC